rnacentral:rRNA from 1 species
GAUGAACGCUGGCGGCGUGCCUAACACAUGCCAGUCGAGCGAAUAUCUUCGGCGUAGAGGGGGGGACGGGGGAGUAACGGGGGGGGAAACAGCUCAGUACACACGGAUAAAAUACCGAAAGGCAUGAUAAAACGGGAUAACAUACUUGUAACGCACGGCAGAAGCAUGAAAGCUUUUGCGGUUGGGGAUCGACUCGGGUCUGAUCAGCUUGUUGCGGGGGUAGUGGCUUACCAAGGCGAUGACGGGUAGUCUACCUGAGGGGGGGAUCGGACACAUUGCAACUGAGCUACGGCCCAGACUCCUACGGGAGGCAGCAGUGGGGAAUAUUGCACAAUGGGCGGAAGCCUGAUGCAGCGACGCCGCGUGCGGGAUGACGGCAUUCGGGUUGUAAACCGCUUUCGCCUGUGACGGAGAGUUAGUGACGGUAAUUGGUGAAGAAGCACCGGCUAACUACGUG